rnacentral:rRNA from 1 species
UAUGAACGCUGGCGGCGUGCCUAAUACAUGCAAGUCGAGCGAACGGACGAGAAGCUUGCUUCUCUGAUGUUAGCGGCGGACGGGUGAGUAACACGUGGAUAACCUACCUAUAAGACUGGGAUAACUUCGGGAAACCGGAGCUAAUACCGGAUAAUAUUUUGAACCGCAUGGUUCAAAGGUGAAAGACGGUCUUGCUGUCACUUAUAGAUGGAUCCGCGCUGCAUUAGCUAGUUGGUAAGGUAACGGCUUACCGAGGCAACGAUGCAUAGCCGACCUGAGAGGGUGAUCGGCCACACUGGAACUGAGACACGGUCCAGACUCCUACGGGAGGCAGCAGUAGGGAAUCUUACGCAAUGGGCGAAAGCCUGACGGAGCAACGCCGCGUGAGUGAUGAAGGUCUUCGGAUCGUAAAACUCUGUUAUUAGGGAAGAACAUAUGUGUAAGUAACUGUGCACAUCUUGACGGUACCUAAUCAGAAAGCCACGGCUAACUACGUG